rnacentral:siRNA from 1 species
CUCCAGUACUGUCGUUGAGUAG